GUGCUAAGUUCUGCUCUUGAUGAUUGCUCAAUUAAUGUUUUACAAACUUGAAUAAUAGGUUUGUGAUUAUUCGUUGGCUUCUUUUGGAUGAUUGCCCUAUUAAUGGAAGCUGAUCAUCUGUAUAGACUUAAAUAACAGUUAGAGCUACAACACACUUUCCCCCAAAUUAAGGCUCUAUAAGGUGGACCAAUCCGGAUCACAAAUCAGGCUCAACCUAUACUACUUAAAACAAUCUACCUUUAUUACAAAUAAGGAUGACAAAUUGGCAAGGCAACAGGUAUUAGGCAAAUCGAAUGUGUAUGGGAUGAGGCAAAUGCAUGGGCAAAGUGGGUAGAUAUGAGGCAGAUUAAACCUCAUACCAUCACCUAUAUAUCAA